GACGAACGCUGGCGGCGUGCUUAACACAUGCAAGUCGAACGGAAAGGCCCCUUUGGGGGUACUCGAGUGGCGAACGGGGUAGUAACACGUGAUUAACCUGCCCUUGACUUCGGGAUAACUUCAGGAAACUGGGGCUAAUACCGGAUAGGAAUCCUUGCUGCAUGUUGGGGGUUGGAAAGCUUCGGCGGUUUUGGCUGGACUCGCGGCUUAUCAGCUUGUUGGUGGGGUAGUGGCUUACCAAGGCUUUGACGGGUAGCCGGCCUGGGAGGGCGACCGGCCACAGUGGGACUGGGACACGGCCAAGACUCAGACGGGAGGCAGCAGUGGGGAAUAUUGCACAAUGGGCGGAGGCCUGAUGCAGCACCGCCGCGUGCGGGAUGACGGCCUUCGGGUUGUAAUCCGCUUUCAGCAGGGGCGAAGCUUGUGGUGACGGUACCUGCAGAAGAAGCACCGGCUAACUACGUG
rnacentral:rRNA from 1 species